CAGCCCCACGGGAAUACGUAGGGCGCAAGCGUUAUCCGGAAUUAUUGGGCGUAAAGAGCUCGUAGGCGGUUUGUCGCGUCUGCCGUGAAAGUCCGGGGCUCAACCCCGGAUCUGCGGUGGGUACGGGCAGACUAGAGUGAUGUAGGGGAGACUGGAAUUCCUGGUGUAGCGGUGAAAUGCGCAGAUAUCAGGAGGAACACCGAUGGCGAAGGCAGGUCUCUGGGCAUUAACUGACGCUGAGGAGCGAAAGCAUGGGGAGCGAACAGGAUUAGAGACCCCUGUAGUCCCUGUCUCUUAUACC
rnacentral:rRNA from 1 species